AAGUAUAUCGUAAAAUAUCGAUUUUAGAAGUUUUUAAAAAAAAAAUAAUGAGUUUACAUCGAUUGACUGUUAUAUUUAGUCUGCUACUGCCCAGAAAUAUUGCUUCUUUUAAUCGUUCAUGUAUUUCUCAAUUUGGAAGAUCCCAGCUCUAUAGUACUCAACGAAUAGAUAGUAAUAGCGGUGAUUGCGUUGAGGAUAAUGAUUGUACGAAAGGUUAUAAUGAAAGUAAUGAAGUUAUUAACGAGGAUAAUAAUAAUAAUGAAAGUAAUAAUUCUAGUAAUCUUUUUUUUGAUGACCCAGCUAAAAAAAUUGUUGGUUCAUUCAAGCCGUUAAUGCGUAUAAUCUUUACUUGUGGAAUUUGCAAAAGUAAAGUGGACAAAAAAUUUUCCAAGAGAUCGUAUGAAAAGGGAGUUGUGUUUAUAACUUGUCCAGUAUGUAAGAGUAACCAUCUUAUUGCCGAUAAUCUGGGUUGGUUUUCAGAUAUAGAAGGAAAAAAUAUAGAGGGAUUUAUGGCAGCCAAAGGUCAAAAGGUAAAGAGGAUUUUAGAAAGUGCAGAGAAUGAUA